CUUCUCAGUAGAAGCUAUUGUUUUCAAGUCCCUCUCUUCAGACACUAAAUCAGAAGCUUGGACCUGUAUAACACUCAAGUUUCAAUUUCAAAAAGGGGGGAAAAAGCGGGAAAAGAAAAGAGGUUUGCUCUUCAGUUACUGAAGGUAGAGUCUCGGUGGUUUCUGUCUCAGUGAUUUUCUCAUUGCCCUGGUCCUUGGACACUGAUUCAGAGGCACUUCCUACCUUCUCAGGCGCAGUUUCUUCAGGCACAAACUCAGAGGUUUCAUCUUGCUCCUCACCUCUUUUUUCCUGUAUGGUUUCUUCAGCUACUGCAUUACGAACAGCUCCAUCAUCAGGCACAUGCCAUGUAGAAGGUACGGAAAAUGGGACGACUGGAUUUCAUCCCAUAUAUCUUCAAUUUACCACAGGUUCAUUGAGGAAUUUUGAAAUGUUCAAACAGUCGAGAGAACUGCUGAAAACAACUGUAUCUCUUGUGCUGAAACCCAGAAUCUGAUUAAAAAGGAAGAAAAAGGAAACUGAGAGUUCGGAAAUCGUGUAUUAAAGGUACUUGCCAUGUUGGACACUAGCUGGAUAUUGGAUACUCAGUGUUUGACAUGUUUCUAAAUUUGACAAGGAGUUCAUGGCUCUGCACAUUAAAAUUUAAAAAAGGGCAGAAACUCGAGAUGGAAACAGUUCAAAAAUCAAAGAUCAGAGUUUCGAUGAAACAAUGAAAAUUGGCGGUUUUACUUGCCUUUUCUAACAUGGGUUCUGGAAUUGGAGCUUCGUUCCCCGCCAUCUUUCAUGCCGGGAUUGCUUCAGAUCAAGGCGAUGGAAAUAGGUGGAUUAGUGAAGUGCACUGCAGCAAAAUGACAAAAUGCCAACAAUUCCAUACCUUUGUUUGCCAUUGGACAGGUAACAAGUCCUUCGAACGGUCACUGUAAGCUUACAUAUGAUUUGUAUGAUGCUUUUGCGAAAUUACGAAAAUGCACAUGAUUCUUU